AAAUAAUAAAAGAAAAUAUAAAAUAUAAGGAUUUACAUGAAAAAUUUUUUAGAGGAAAAAAAAAUCACGGGCGAAGAAGGAGAGAUCUUUACUAUAUGAAAAGAUUUUUGUUUGAACCAAACUAGAUCACACCUCUGUAUCGCCGAACUAGUCCUCUUCCUUUUCUUUUGGUUUGCUCAUUAGCAAGAUGAAUUGCAUCUCUCAUCAUCGCUUGUUUUAUCGUAGUUUUCUCUUCUUUUGUUGCCGUUUUUUAUUUUUUCUCCAAUUAUCUAUCCGCUACGUUACACGUGUUACUACCCCAGUACUAUAUGGUACAUCUUGAUAGCUAUUUACUGACAUAGUCAUUUAACAAUAGAACCACGAAAAAAGAAAUCUCAAUUAAUAAGUAGAAGGAAUUUUUUAUGAAAUUAUAUAAUUUGGAAAGAAAUAAAAGAUUUCUAUAUAAUAUUUAAAAGAUGGUAAAUAUUUCAAUAAGU
rnacentral:lncRNA from 1 species